rnacentral:rRNA from 1 species
AGUCGAACGGUAACAGGAAGUAGCUUGCUACUUUGCUGACGAGUGGCGGACGGGUGAGUAAUGUCUGGGGAUCUGCCUGAUGGAGGGGGAUAACUACUGGAAACGGUAGCUAAUACCGCAUAAUGUCGCAAGACCAAAGCGGGGGACUUUCGAGCCUCGCACCAUCAGAUGAACCCAGAUGGGAUUAGCUAGUAGGUAGGGUAAUGGCCUACCUAGGCGACGAUCCCUAGCUGGUCUGAGAGGAUGACCAGCCACACUGGAACUGAGACACGGUCCAGACUCCUACGGGAGGCAGCAGUGGGGAAUAUUGCACAAUGGGCGCAAGCCUGAUGCAGCCAUGCCGCGUGUAUGAAGAAGGCCUUCGGGUUGUAAAGUACUUUCAGUCAGGAGGAAGGGUGUGAAAUUAAUACUUUCAUGCAUUGACGUUACUGACAGAAGAAGCACCGGCUAACUCCGUGCCAGCAGCCGCGGUAAUACGGAGGGUGCAAGCGUUAAUCGGAAUUACUGGGCGUAAAGCGCACGCAGGCGGUUUGUUAAGUCAGAUGUGAAAUCCCCGGGCUCAACCUGGGAACUGCAUUUGAAACUGGCAAGCUUGAGUCUUGUAGAGGGGGGUAGAAUUCCAGGUGUAGCGGUGAAAUGCGUAGAGAUCUGGAGGAAUACCGGUGGCGAAGGCGGCCCCCUGGACAAAGACUGACGCUCAGGUGCGAAAGCGUGGGGAGCAAACAGGAUUAGAUACCCCUGGUAGUCCACGCCGUAAACGAUGUCGACUUGGAGGCUGUUCCCUUUGAGGAGUGGCUUCCGGAGCUAACGCGUUAAGUCGACCGCCUGGGGAGUACGGCCGCAAGGUUAAAACUCAAAUGAAUUGAC